GAAUCUCAGGGGUUUUAGAAACACACAAAGAAUAUAAAAUAUUCAAGAAAACACUCCAGAAUCAAAGGGCAUGAGUUUCAGAUUGAAAGGGCCACCAAGGGACCAACACAAUAGGUAUAUCACUGUGAAACUUCUUAACACUGGGGACAAAGGAAUCCUACAAGGUCACACACAAAGAAGGCUCUGGCCUUAACAGCAGCCCUGGAAGCUUGAAGACAAUGGAGCCACGCUAUCAAAGUUCUGAGACAAAGUGACUUCUUAUCUAGAAUUCCACACUUCAUCAAUCAAGGGUUGGACAUUUUCAGACAUGCAAGCUUUCAAAAUAUUUCCCUCUCAUGAACUCUCGGGAAGCUCCUGGAGAAUGUAUGUCAUCAAAAACAGGGAAGAAAGCAAGAAAUGAGAAGACACAGGAAAGAGUGGAAACUAGAGAGUUUCUGCUUCAAGAUGUUGAAACGGAGACUCCAAGAGGAUGGUUUCUGAGCGUGAGUCCUAGCGUCAGCUACCAUCAGCAGCAGCAGCACAGCACGGAGCCAGAUCUCGGGCGCAGACACUCAUGGAGAGGCCACAGUUUAAUCAGCAAGCUGAGGCAAACCGUGUUUCAGGAGAAUUCACAAUAUAAGUAUGUGGGCCACCAGCACAGCAUGGCUGCUAACAGAGUGGUGUAGAUCUACACCCAGGAACUGAACCCAGGCUGCCGAGGUGGAGCGCACUGAACUUAACCACUAGGCCACCGGGGCUGGCCCAUAAACAAGUAUAUUUUAAUCAUAUAUCUUUUUUUUAAAUAUAAUUGGAAGAAGUGACAUUCUGUUCUGGACUCUGCUUUAUUUCCCUUACUAAAAUAUCUCAUGUUGUUGCAUAUCAGCAUAUGUAGAUCUAUUUCAUUCUUUUCUGCUCCUGCAUAGAUUUCUAUUGU
rnacentral:lncRNA from 1 species